CGUGAAGGGCAGGAGAGCGCGACCGUCAUCGUGGUGGCGCGCGUUGACCCGGAGUCGCCCUGCCGCGUCCGCCCAGUCGCGCAGGUCCCGCUCCGCGGCAGGGGAGCUGCCGUAGACCGUGGACGCGUCCAGGAAGGAGGUACCUGCCACACCCACACUGAAAUAAGAGCAUCGCGCCUGUCCCGUGGAGCCGGUGUGGUGACAGCCGGGUGGGAGCACUGCGGAGCUUUGCGGCAGAAGCAUUUGGAUUGGAAAAGUCGGGGACCUAGACGUUUACAAUUUCCUGGCUGUGUCUGAUACAGCCUUUCACUUCUGUACCUGGAUUUUCCACACGGGAGGGAGAGACACGAUAUGCUACAGAGACCACAGGCAACAUGGGCAACCAAGGGUUGGCGUGGCCUCCCAGGCCAAGUACUGCAGCAUCCUUUCGCUGCAAAUCUCACAACUGCGCGGAGAGGGGGUGGAGGGGUGGGGGGGGUGGUCAGCAGACAAGAGGCAUCCAUUGCUCUCAAGGUGCAGCUGUAACUGUGAAGCUUUCCAAAACGAGGGACAGUGAGCGGAGACGCCUGAAGGAUUCAUAGGCACUGACUGCCUGCAAGAAAAAUGCUAUUUACAGGACAGCAGCACACUGGCCAGUAGUCCAGGCUUGAGGCUAUGAUUGGUUCACAUACACAUCUGCUGAUUGGCCCAUAUUUAUAUCUGCUAAUUGGUCCAAGUUGAAACUUAUUGAUUGGUCCAAACUCAAGCUCCUGAUUGGCCCAAAUUCAAGGCUGCUGAUUGAUCCAAACUCAGUGUAAUAUAAUGCCCUGCUAGAGGAGUAGAGACCAUAGGACUUGUGUUAAGGCAAAGUGGCAUGGAAUUUAUUGUGCCUGGAUGAAGGCAGACAAAAGGAGAAAAGAUCAUCUAUGGGAAACAAAGGGAAAUGUCUCCCUUUUCUAGGGAUUGAAAAAAAGCAAGGGCCUUUAGAUGGGAAGAUUUUAGUAAACAUCUGUGUUCAAAUAUCUCACUGGUGGUGUUGCACCUCAGUGGACAAAGUCCUUGAAGUGGCUGGUGUAACUUUUCGGGUGGCUCCAGAUUUCCCCACACCUGGAAGUUUCCUUGUCCUAUCUUACCCUAUGUAUACGGAUGGCAGCCUCCAUACUGAGCCGAGCUCCUUGCUGCACGCAGCAUCUCGCUGGCAGAAGGUUAGAGGCUGGUAGAGUCAGGUCCUACUCCUGCCUUACACUCAGGUCUCCUGAUUGGUCAAAAUUCAAGCCUGCUGAUUCAAGCCUAUUGAUUGGUCCAAACUCACUUCGGUUGCUUCCCUUAAAUUCCAGUCAGCCACAGGCAAGGCCCACAGCUGCUAGAGUGGCAUUUGGGCAGCUGCUGCUGUCAGGGAGACAGCUCAGGAGGACAGAAGGUAGAGGGCCACUCGACAUCUGCCCCAUCUCUAUGGAAAUUGCAGAGCUAAGAUCAGGACUGUUGUCAUUUGUGGCAUCCUGCUUUGAGAGCUGACUAUGAAUCACAGCUAACUGGGGCUUGGGGACCUGAGGGAUAGUCACUGUGGGCCCUGAACUCCUUCCUGGUCUUUGUGCCAUUCGGGGUGUCUUCCCUAGGCUUCUUCAGAACCUAGGAUACAGGGGGCGUCAGCAGGAGUGUGGCAGGGAGGACGUGGGCUCCACAGAGAUGACAGAGCGAGCAGUGAAACACAGGGACUGCUGUCCCUGUCCACACCCCACCUGCUGGGUUCAUUCAGGAGCGCUGCCACCUCAUACAAGGCCUUGCUGUGGGAACGCUGCCCCUUGGGGCUCCGGGGACACCCGCAGUUUCAUUCAGCAGAGCCCUGCUACCCUCCUCCGGGGUAUUAAGGAUAAACACUGAGCUGCCUGAUGUUUAAUAUCUAGAGUAAAAUUUUUAAAAAUCAAAGCAUAGUUGAACAGACAAACAUGUCAGUUUUAUGACUCAAUUCGUGUGGAAGGGGAAAGUAAGAAGAAAAGAGGCUGCACGGAGCCCCGAAAAGGUGAAGACGAGGGCAGGGCGCAGACUAGGACGGGCAUAAUGCUCUUUGGAAGAUUUCAGCAUGUAUAUUUCUAUCCCACCUGCUAUCCAAGAAACCACCUCCGACAGUGAGGCUGCAGCUUUUCCUAAGAUGGCUUGGAAACGUCCCAUCUCCUCGGGGUCACCUGCUGGGGUGACCUCCGGCUCAGGGCUUCCGCCAGAUCCUGGCUUCUCUGGGAGCCCAGAAGCGGCCUUUGCUAUAGCAACGGAGCAUCGCCGCCAUCCGAUCCUCUUCCUCCCACCAAGGCAGCUAAGGCAUUCAGAAUAGACCAGAGCCACUUUCGCUCCUCGCUGCAGCUCCCUUGCAAGCCACGCGGGGCGCUGUCACAGAGCCACGGCUGCUCCACGCAUGGCUGCUCAAUAUGCCCUCAGGUGCUGCCCAGGUGACCUCGGAACCCCUCUGCAAGACUCAGGGUGGGGGCAGGGCAUGGUAAUAGAGAUAGGGGACCUUUACAGUGAACUGUGUCCCCAGCCCUUUUUAACUUUUUUUUUUUUUUUUUUUUUGGUCUUUUUAGGACAGGGUCACUAUUGCUAUGCAAUCCAGGCUGGCCUUGGGCUCCCUUUGUAUCCCAGGCUGAUCUUGAACUUGCAAUGAUCCUCCUGCCACAGCCUCCAGAGUGCUGUGGGAUUACAGGAUUACAGGAGUGCACCACUAUGCCUGGUUCCUUUAUAAAUUUUUGAGAUAGGAGCUUGGUAAAUUGCCAAAUUCCCAACCCUGGGCUUGAAUUUGGAAUUCACCUGCCUCUGUGUUCCAGAGUGCUGGGAUUACAAGCACAAGCACGCACCACCACAUCCAGCUGUGAUUUGCUACUGAAGUUCAUCAGAAGCCUCUGUGCCCCCACCCGCGCCUCUCCUUCACCCCGAAUUUGGGCAAUGGUCCCCAUCUUUUUUUUAGAUAGUGUACUAGAGUACAUGCCAUCUUCCCUAGGCCCAGAUCGGGGGGAUUGCCAUGGUGGGGUGGCAGGCAACCCUCCUUGGUGGUCCAGGCUCCAGGUUGCAGGAGAGGAGCCUCUGCAAACCAUACCUGUUGUUGCAGGCGCCCGUGAUGAGUCUGUACUUGUUCGCCAGGCAAGUGUUGGGACAUUUUGGUGGCAGCAUGUAAGGUAGGCAGCCAGACAGAUUUGCAAUCAUGUUCAGCAGAUCUUCUGAUAAAAUGUCUAAGAACAAAGAACAAUGCUUCAGCGCUCUGCUCGAAAUGGCGACAGUGAACCCUGCAGACACCCAGCUUCCCACUGCUGUCCCAGAAGCAGCCUUGCCACAGAGCUGGGGAUCCCGAGGAAUCUGAGUCAGUCUUUGGAGAAAAUCUGCAUUCCAUUUUGAAAUCUAGCACUCCCUCGUUUAAUUCUCUUGAGCUUCUUUCUUGUUAGGGAUGUAAAAUGUUGUUUUGUCUUUUAUUUUGUGAUGUUUCAGAUACUGGUCUGGGGUCCCCGAGCCCCAGUUGCAGGGUCACCUGCACCCUGUCCUGUCCAGCGGUACCCAGCUAUCAGAGGACAGUGCACACGUGGCCUUCACCCCCCCCCAUUAAAACUAAAUCUAGACUUGGUCAGGUUUGCUAAUAAUUUACAGCUGUUCCUCUAUAAACCCCAGAUAUUUUCCUUUUAUUGAUCUUGGAGUCUUUCUCUCCCUAAAUUAGAGCCCAAGAAAGCAGUCUCUUUCAUUUUUAUUUUUUUGCCAAUUCUGUCACUAUUUAUGUCAUUCAACAAAUCAAAGUAAGGGCUGUUUUGUUGUCCGUGAGUAGAAGCAAUCACUGCUUCUCUUCUCAAGAUGGUUUAAAUAAAUCUUUGGGAAUAAUACCAUAAAACACUGAUUAAUCAUUAAUCAGAUGCCAAUGAAAUUGAGGCAUUCACUAAGAAAAAGCCAAGAAGGAAUGCAUUCUGCUUUCAAACAGAAGAGAAUCAAGCAAGCUCUUCAUAAGAAAGGCAACUAAGGUAUAUUAAUGAGAACGAUUAAACGAGACUCCAAACCAUUUGCAUUCAGUUCGGGGGGUGGAGUGGAGGUGGCUAUGCCUGUCUCACAGCUGUAGCCCAGUGAAACAAAUUCUCUAAAGCAGACAGGGGAUCGAACCCACAUAAACAACAAAACCCACCUCGGCAGAGCCAGGAGGCAGCAGUUAUUACUGUGAUUGAAGUGAUUGAAAGGAACCUCUGGGGUCCUUUUACCUUUUUACAUUACAAAUGUUCUAGGUUGACUGUGCUUUCAAGAGAAUAAUUUUCAAACAUGCUAUAGGAUGGGGCUCUUGAAUUCUGCAUCAUGGCCUGGACCAGACACAUCAGCCUAUUUCCCCUAAAUGUCUAUACCCUGACUUGGGAAAAUGGCCUGGAGAUGCUAAAGUCCAAGCCAGGAGACCCAAGUCUCAGGCAUUAGAGCAUACCAUACCCUUUGUCAUUUUUUUCCCUCUCGUGGCCCUAGCCAAUCCCACAACAAGACAGGACACCGAUGUCCUUACCAAGAUUUUCCAACCAUGAUUUGAAAUGAGACUAGUUUCAGGUUGAGUUUGGUAGUAUGUUUUGUUUUGUUUUGUUUUGUUUUGUCUUUUUCCUUUUCAUCGGUACCGGGGAUCGAAUUCACGACUGCCUGCUUACAAGGCAGGCGCUUAUGCCGCUGAGCUAAAUUCCCAGCCCCAUGAGUUUGGUAGUAUGUUUAUCAUCCAGCACUCUUGGAGGCUGAAGCAGGAAGAUUGAAAGUGUGAGCCCAGCCUGGGCAACUUAGCAAGACCUUGUCUCAAAAUAGAAAAUAAAAAAUAAAACAAGGGCAGGGGCUGUAGCUCAGUGCAAAUGCCCUGGGUUGGGUCCCCAGCGCCACCCCCCCACACACACAUCCUAUUCCUAUAUAAUCAUUUAAACUUCACUGUUGAAUUUAGAGCUGAGAAUUCUGGCUGACCCUGGUACAGUCGAAUAGUUUGUUCAUGACUCAGACCUAGAUGAAGAAAUCCUACAUCUUGCACCCACCCUGUGAGGGUACAAAUAUGUCUCUGAGGGCAUCUGUUGUCUUCCGGUUUCUCUGCACUGAAUCUGCAGACCCUGACCUAGGAAACCCACUCCUCCUCAUGGGGCCUGAAGCAGCCAUCCACUCAGGUGGCCAGGACCCCAUCUUUCUUUGUUGGCUGGCAACAGCCUUGGAUCACCAAAUCUGCCCCCACCUCCCCACCCCACCCCCAGUACCCCACCACCACCAUCACCUGGGAAGGUGGGGCUGGGCUCGGUGGUGCCCUUUCCUGGCUAGAAUGCUCCCUCCAGGGAAACAUGUUUCCUUUCAACGUCAUACCCCAAGCCCACGAGCUCCUAGUGGGUGGGGAGCUGACGGGAAGAUGCCCCAGUCAUUUCACACAAGAGAACACAUCUGCUUCUCCCUGUCUACCCAGACAGCAGAGAAUAAGAAUUUGCCAGAGCAGCGGGAACCAGAAACUGGCACUGUUCUCAAGUAUCUUGAAGAAGAGUUGCUUGUGUCCUAACCCAUCCUGCUUGUUUUGGCCUAGAAACACCCCCAAAUGCCAACGGCCCCCUCCCAGAUCAAGUGCACCCUCCCUGAGCUUCGGGGUACUGUGCUCACCCAGAGGAAGCUGCUGCCCCGUCAGCCCCAGCGCCUGCAUGGAGGCUUCCGUGAUUUCUGCAGCCCGGGAAAUUGCUCUGCUCGAUGGUUCAGGGAACUUGGAAAAAGCCAGCAGCUGAGAUGAAGUGACAUCCCUCUUUCUGAGGUUCCUAGGCGUACGAAGAAGAUAGAAAGGAAUACACACACCGACGUGGCCACCUGGCUCUUAGUUAUCAGUUAACUGGGCAUCGGGAAAGUAACUUCAUCCCCAAGAGCCAGGCUCUCCGAUGGGGCUGCAAGCAGCUGAGGAGCCAGGUUACCUCUGCAGGGAGGCGUAGAUGGCCUCGUCCACCGAGCGUACAGCAGCCUCCAGCAUGCUACGAACCUGAGAGUCUCUGGUAUCUCCUGCAGAAUGGAGCAGCGUGCAGUAAGAGGCCUUAGUCGUGCCUGUAGCUCUGUCAUCUCCCUCCAGUCCAGCAAGGGUAGGGGCAACUCUGGGGACCAGGGGGCCCCUGCACCCCGUGGACAUGGUCCCUAAGAUGAAGCGAGCCUGGAACAGGCAGGGAUGUGUCUUCACUGUUUCUCAGUUGCUUGAACUGCUUCUUGUGACCCUGAAUAGCAUUCUGAAUAUUCCCGUUCAUACCCGCGUCUGCCUGUUUGUUUGUGCCCUUCAUGGAAGAUGAACUCUUUGAAUACACCUGCAGUGUCUGAGA